rnacentral:rRNA from 1 species
UACGUAGGAGGCGAGCGUUGUCCGGAAUUACUGGGCGUAAAGGGCGCGUAGGCGGUUUCGUAAGUCCUGUGUGAAAUCCCCCGGCUCAACUGGGGAACUGCACAGGAAACUGCGAGGCUUGAGUUCGGGAGAGGGAAGCGGAAUUCCGGGUGUAGCGGUGAAAUGCGUAGAUAUCCGGAGGAACACCGGUGGCGAAGGCGGCUUCCUGGACCGACACUGACGCUGAGGCGCGAAAGCCAGGGGAGCAAACGGG